UCCUCGUUAGCUCAGUCGGUAGAGCGCAUGACUGUUAAUCAUGAUGUCGCUGGUUCGAGCCCAGCACGGGGAGCCA
rnacentral:tRNA from 1 species